UCCAACUUAACGCUGGCAGUCUCCUUAGAGUGCCCAACUUAAUGCUGGCAACUAAGGAUAAGGGUUGCGCUCGUUGCGGGACUUAACCCAACAUCUCACGACACGAGCUGACGACAGCCAUGCAGCACCUGUGCUCCGGCCCUUGCGGGCUGCAAUAUCUCUACUGCAUUCCAGAGCAUGCCAAACCCAGGUAAGGUUUUUCGCGUUGCAUCGAAUUAAACCACAUUCUCCACCGCUUGUGCGGGCCCCCGUCAAUUUCUUUGAGUUUUAAUCUUGCGACCGUACUCCCCAGGCGGGACACUUAACGCGUUAGCUACGGCACUGAAGGGGUCAAUACCUUCAACACCAAGUGUCCAUCGUUUACAGCGUGGACUAC
rnacentral:misc_RNA from 1 species